GAACGGAAUCGAUUACCACAGCUGGAAGCCUGGAACGAGCAUCUUAAAAUGAGUAAAAUUGGAAAAUAUACUGUAGCCUUGUGAAGUUCGCAAAUUUUGUAUAUUUGCAUUACGUGCAUUAUUUGCAAUACAAAUAUAUACAAAAUUUGCGAACUUCACAGGGCUAUAUUUUCUUCAUUUUACAACAUUUAGCAACCAAUCUUUGCAGUUUUACUCAUUCUAAGACGCUCUUUCUAGCUGUGGUGUUGGAUUUCGUUC